CCCUUGGGGCCUGCCUAAUACUGCAAGUCGAACGAACUCUGGUAAUGAUUGGUGCUUGCAUCAUGAAUUACAUUUGAGUGAGUGGCGAACUGGUGAGUAACACGUGGGAAACCUGCCCAAAAGCGGGGGAUAACACCUGGAAACAGAUGCUAAUACCGCAUAACAACUUGGACCGCAUGGUCCGAGUUUGAAAGAUGGCUUCGGCUAUCACUUUUGGAUGGUCCCGCGGCGUAUUAGCUAGAUGGUGAGGUAACGGCUCACCAUGGCAAUGAUACGUAGCCGACCUGAGAGGGUAAUCGGCCACAUUGGGACUGAAACACGGCCCAAACUCCUACGGGAGGCAGCAGUAGGGAAUCUUCCACAAUGGACGAAAGUCUGAUGGAGCAACGCCGCGUGAGUGAAGAAGGGUUUCGGCUCGUAAAACUCUGUUGUUAAAGAAAAACAUAUCUGAAAGUAACUGUUCAGGUAUUGACGGUAUUUAACCAGAAAGCCACGGCUAACUACGUGCCAGCAGCCGCGGUAAUACGUAGGUGGCAAGCGUUGUCCGGAUUUAUUGGGCGUAAAGCGAGCGCAGGCGGUUUUUUAAGUCUGAUGUGAAAGCCUUCGGCUCAACCGAAGAAGUGCAUCGGAAACUGGGAAACUUGAGUGCAGAAAAGGACAGUGGAACUCCAUGUGUAGCGGUGAAAUGCGUAGAUAUAUGGAAGAACACCAGUGGCGAAGGCGGCUGUCUGGUCUGUAACUGACGCUGAGGCUCGAAAGUAUGGGUAGCAAACAGGAUUAGAUACCCUGGUAGUCCAUACCGUAAACGAUGAAUGCUAAGUGUUGGAGGGUUUCCGCCCUUCAGUGCUGCAGCUAACGCAUUAAGCAUUCCGCCUGGGGAGUACGGCCGCAAGGCUGAAACUCAAAAGGAAUUGACGGGGGGCCCGCACAAGCGGGUGGGAGCAUGGUGGUUUAUUUCGAAGCUACGCGAAGAACCCUUAACCAGGUCUUGGACAUACUAUGCAAAUCUAAGAGAUUAGACGUUCCCCUUUCCGGGACAUGGAAUACAGGUGGGUGCAUGGGUGGUCCGUCAGUCCUCGGUGCUCGUGAAGAUGUUGGGGUUAAAGUCCCCGCAACGAGGCGCCACCCCUAAUUAUCAGUUGCCCAGCAUUUAGUUUGGGGCAUCUCUGGGUGGAGACUGGCCGUGAACAAACCGAAAGGAAGGGUGGGGGAUGGAAGCUUCAAAUCA
rnacentral:rRNA from 1 species